UACAGAGGGGGCAAGCGUUAUUCGGAAUUAUUGGGCGUAAAGGGCGCGUAGGCGGCUUGGCAAGUGGAUGGUGAAAUCCCUCGGCUUAACCGGGGAACUGCGUCUGAUACUGGAUGGCUUGAGUGUGGGAGAGGAAUGCGGAAUUCCAGGUGUAGCGGUGAAAUGCGUAGAUAUCUGGAGGAACACCGGUGGCGAAGGCGGCAUUCUGGACCAUAACUGACACUGAGAGACGAAAGCCAGGGGAGCAAACGGG
rnacentral:rRNA from 1 species